rnacentral:ncRNA from 1 species
UGGGAGAGCAAUCGAUUCUGAAAAACCACUACCCUGUUUGGAAUUAUGCUUACCUAUCACAAGGAAUAGGACUAGAUAGAAAGUUUGGCUGGGGCGGCACACCUUCGAAAGAGCAGCGAAGGUGUCCUAAGUUGAGCUCAGUGAGGACAGAAAUCUCACGUUGAGGAUAAGGCCAAAAGCUCAAUUUACUGUGCCUUUUUGUACUAGGAUCAGUUACGAAAGUAAGGCCUAACGAUCCCUAAAUAGCCUCAGGUGCGUGAGGAUUGGGGUGACAGACAAGUUACCUCCGGGACAACUGGCUUGUGGCUGCUAAGAGAUCAAAUCAACGCAGCUUUUUGAUUCUUCGAUGUCGGCUCUUCCUAUCCUAGUGAUGUACAAGUUGCUAAGGGUCGGAUUGUUCACCCGUAUUAGGGAUCGUGAGCUGGGUUUAGACCGUCGUGAGCCAGGUUUGUUUUAUCCUACUGGAUAUAGCAUCAUGAUAGUAGAUUGAUUUAGUACGAGAGGAACUGUUGAUUAUGGCCUCUGGUUAGCGAUUAUCGGAAACGGUAUGUCGCGCAGCUACGCCGUCUGGGAUAAUGGCUGAAAGCCUCUUAAGCCAGAAGCCCAUCUAGAAAGUGAUGCACGUGAUGUUGGACCGAUACGAAUAAUCAUACUCAAAAGGUCCGCUUCAUAGGUAACCCAAUGUAGAAGACAUUGUGUGAACGAAGGUACUGUAAGCAGUGGAGUGGCAUUACGUCCACGACCUGUUGAGGUUCAGCUUCGCUUCUAGGUUUCC